GCGACGAACCAGGCUUCGGCCUGGGGCUUAGCCGCGAACGGGUGAGUAACACGUGGGUAA
rnacentral:rRNA from 1 species